rnacentral:rRNA from 1 species
UUAUGUAAAACUAAAACAUAUGGUGGUGUCACAAAAUCGGAGGCCACGACUGUUUACUAAAAACACAAUUCAGAGCAAUGAUGAAAAUCAUAGUAUUCUGGAUGAAAUUUGCCCGAUGCCAUUAACAUAAAAGAGGUAAUGGGAAACUGUUACUAAUUGAAAGUCUGGUUAAUAGCGGUCUUAACUAUGAGGAUCCUAAGGUAGCAAAAUCAGUUGGCCAUUAAAUGUGGUCUGGUAUCAAUAGUGUAACGAUGGUCUCACUGUCUCUACAACUUGCUCAGUGAAAUUGAAUUAUCCGUGCAGAUGCGGAUUGCCUCCAGGUGGACGGGAAGACCCUAU